rnacentral:rRNA from 1 species
UACGUAGGGGGCGAGCGUUGUCCGGAGUACUGGGCGUAAAGCGCACGCAGGCGGUCGGCCGCGUAGGUGGUGACAGUCCUCGGCUUACCUGAGGAAGCGCUGCCUAAACGGGUCGACUUGAGGGCCAGAGAGGGACACGGAACUCCGGGUGGAGCGGUGAAAUGCGUAGAGAUCCGGAAGAACACCAAAGGCGAAGGCAGUGUCCUGGCUGGCUCCUGACGCUCAGGUGGCGAAAGCUAGGGGAGCAAACAGG